rnacentral:rRNA from 1 species
CCUACGGGCGGCAGCAGUGGGGAAUAUUGGACAAUGGGCGAAAGCCUGAUCCAGCCAUGCCGCGUGUGUGAAGAAGGCCUUCGGGUUGUAAAGCACUUUCAGUGGGGAAGAAAGCCUUGGGGCUAAUACCCUCGAGGAAGGACAUCACCCACAGAAGAAGCACCGGCUAACUCCGUGCCAGCAGCCGCGGUAAUACGGAGGGUGCGAGCAUUAAUCGGAAUUACUGGGCGUAAAGCGCGCGUAGGCGGUCUGAUAAGCCGGUUGUGAAAGCCCCGGGCUCAACCUGGGAACGGCAUCCGGAACUGUCAGGCUAGAGUGCAGGAGAGGAAGGUAGAAUUCCCGGUGUAGCGGUGAAAUGCGUAGAGAUCGGGAGGAAUACCAGUGGCGAAGGCGGCCUUCUGGACUGACACUGACGCUGAGGUGCGAAAGCGUGGGUAGCAAACAGGAUUAGAUACCCUAGUAGUC